rnacentral:rRNA from 1 species
UCUCCGAAAUAGCUUUAGGGCUAGCCUCAAGGUAAGAGUCUUGGAGGUAGAGCACUGAUUGGACUAGGGGCCCCUACCGGGUUACCGAAUUCAGUCAAACUCCGAAUGCCAAUGACUUAUCCUUGGGAGUCAGACUGCGAGUGAUAAGAUCCGUAGUCGAAAGGGAAACAGCCCAGACCGCCAGCUAAGGUCCCAAAGGAUA